AUUGAACGCUGGCGGCAGGCCUAACACAUGCAAGUCGAGCGAGCGGCGGCCGGGUGAGUAAUGUCUGGGGAACUGCCCGAUAGAGGGGGAUAACUACUGGAAACGGUGGCUAAUACCGCAUACUAUCCGCUGUACCCCUAUGGGAUUAGCUAGUAGGUGGGGUAAAGGCUCACCAAGGCGACGAUCGCUAGCUGGUCUGAGAGGAUGAUCAGCCACACUGGGACUGAGACACGGCCCAGACUCCUACGGGAGGCAGCAGUGGGGAAGAUUGCACAAUGGGCGCAAGCCUGAUGCAGCCAUGCCGCGUGUAUGAAGAAGGCCUUAGGGUUGUAAAGUACUUUCAGCGGGGAGGCGUUACCCGCAGAAGAAGCACCGGCUAACUCCGUGCCAGCAGCCGCGGUAAUAC
rnacentral:rRNA from 1 species